UACGGGGGGGGCAAGCGUUGUUCGGAAUUACUGGGCGUAAAGGGCGCGUAGGCGGCCUUCUAAGUCGGACGUGAAAUCCCUCGGCUUAACCGAGGAACUGCGUCCGAUACUGAAAGGCUUGAGUCCGGGAGAGGGAUGUGGAAUUCCAGGUGUAGCGGUGAAAUGCGUAGAUAUCUGGAGGAACACCGGUGGCGAAGGCGGCAUCCUGGACCGGCAUUGACGCUGAGGCGCGAAAGCUAGGGGAGCAAACGGG
rnacentral:rRNA from 1 species